AUUGAACGCUGGCGGCAGGCCUAACACAUGCAAGUCGAGCGAGCGGGGGACGGGUGAGUAAGGUCUGGGAAACUGCCGGUGGGAGGGGGAAAACUACGGGAAACGGUAGCUAAUACCGCAUACCAUCAGAUGGGCCCAGAUGGGAUUAGCAAGUAGGUGGGGUAACGGCUCACCUAGGCGACGAUCCCUAGCUGGGGUGAGAGGAUGACCAGCCACACUGGAACUGAGACACGGUCCAGACUCCUACGGGAGGCAGCAGUGGGGAAUAUUGCACAAUGGGCGCAAGCCUGAUGCAGCCAUGCCGCGUGUGUGAAGAAGGCCUUCGGGUUGUAAAGCACUUUCAGCGGGGAGGCGUUACCCGCAGAAGAAGCACCGGCUAACUCCGUGCCAGCAGCCGCGGUAAUAC
rnacentral:rRNA from 1 species